UGAGCACUAGGUGCAGCGGAUAUUGACCUCUGCUGUGCCGUAGCUAACGCGUUAAGUGCUCCGCCUGGGGAGUACGGCCGCAAGGCUAAAACUCAAAGGAAUUGACGGGGGCCCGCACAAGCAGUGGAGCAUGUGGUUUAAUUCGAAGCAACGCGCAGAACCUUACCAGGGCUAGAAAAACUGAGAAUCCUGACGAAACUCGGGAGUGCUCGCAAGAGAACUCAGGUCCAGGUGCUGCAGGGCUGUCGUCAGCUCGUGUCGUGAGAUGUUGGGUUAAGUCCCGCAACGAGCGCAACCCUUGUCCUUAGUUGCCAUCAUUUAGUUGGGCUCUCUAAGGAGACUGCCGGGGUCAACCCGGAGGAAGGUGGGGAUGACGUCAAGUCCUCAUGGCCCUUAUGUCCUGGGCUACACACGUGCUGCAAUGGUUGGUACAAAGCGCUGCGAAGCCGCGAGGUGGAGCGAAUCGCAAAAAGCCAGCCUCAGUACGGAUUGCACUCUGCAACUCGAGUGCAUGAAGUCGGAAUUGCUAGUAAUCGCUGAUCAGCAGGCAGCGGUGAAUACGUUCCCGGGCCUUGUACACACCGCCCGUCACACCAUGGGAGUCGAGUGCUCCAGAAGUGGCCGCGCUAACCCGCAAGGG
rnacentral:rRNA from 1 species